UACUAUAUACUAAAGGAGGGUUACUGUUCCUAGGCAACUCCUUACGAACAGUUUCGUUCCCAUUUUGCCCCUGCCAUUUGCUCCCUUGUUACUGAUUUACUCGAUCCCGACAGGUGUUGGCUGCCUGUGAUGCCGAGUGGUUAUGGCUCUGCGUGUUUGCUCUGGAGAAAGUACACCUGCUCCUUGAAUCUGCACAAAGAGUGACGGAGAGGACGAAAGUUUCUUUUUUCUUUAUGCUGCAACUCGAGAUCGAGAGAGAGAGCGAGAGCGAGAGCGUGUUGAUAUUCUGGAAAGGUAUACAACAAACAGAGGGCCGAAAGGGUCUCAUCUCAGGUCAGUGUACCAUGCAGCAGCCUAUUUGACAUCGUGACCGGCUGGAGUCGCUCAAUCUUUUUCAAAUUUUUACUCAAAUUUUAAUCUUUUCAAUUCUGGGUGUGUUUGAAUUUCAAAGUCUGCAACUUUUUCUUUACAAGUAUAAGAGGGUUGGGCAUUUUGUUUGUUUAAAAUAGAUUUGACAAUUCCACAUAUGAAGACUGUGGAGAGGUAUGGUAUGUUUAUCUUCCUAGCUAUGGUUUUUAACUUGGGAGUAGAUUGGUUAUGGUUUUUACUACUGCAGUAGACUUAUUAUGUAUAGUAGGAUGCUUCUUUUUCUCAACUGUAUUUUCAAGCCGAGACAAGGUUAAUCGAAUUUUUGAUAAUUCUAUCGAAAGGUCUUUGUGGAUAUUUUUUUACUGUCUGUUCAGUUUGCAAAUUCUGCUUCAAUACUUUCUUCUACUAAUCAUAUGGUUACGUUUUAUGUUUUAUCUUUCACUGAUGGUGUUUGGGUUAUGACUGCAACAUUUACAUUGCCUAGCCUAGUGUGAGUUACUUCUUGAGGUGUUUCUAAUAUAUUAUACAUUACCAUACUAAAAUUUAGAUAGGUGGCUGAGCACUCUGCACGAGUUAUUGUUGAUUUGCUUUUGGUGUUAUUUCUGGUAACUCUGAUCAGUUUGUUUUUAUAUAGGGACACUGAACUCUAGAACAUGCAAAGUUCAAAGCUAGGGUGGAGGUUUUACCGAGAAAUCAAAGGUGGAACUGGCAAGAAAAUAUUGUAAGGGAUGAAUUGUCUUCAGAUUUGGAAGAAACUCCUGCCAAUCGAUGAAGGACUUUUGAGAUGGUUUUGGAGAUGCAAUAUGACUUGGAGAUGGAGACGCGCCUGGGUCUUCGUCAAAACAGAACUUCUCAACCAUUGAAGCUUGGAAUUGGCUUUAUCGCUUCUCAGUGAGAAAAAUUGGUAAAUUUUGACUAGGCAUCCACCGCUUAGGAGUUUGCUUCUUCACCUUCUGAUGUUCGAUUUGGCUUCUGCGUUUUAUCGAACAAAUGGUGUGUUUUGAAUCACCAUCAAAUUAGUAGCGAAAUUCCCUCCCUUGAUCACCACUCAGGUUCUUUGCAGUAUAUUUGAUCUGUAGCUUUCUAUGUCCUGUGUCUUCUGCCCAUCAUAAUCUGAUUCAAGUUUGAUUCCAGUUUGUGAUGUUCUCAUGUAGCAGGAAGUUGAAUAACCUUGGCACUUCAUCCAUUCAGUUUCCGGUUGUAGAGGAAGAGCGCAUAUCGAAUCGAUUAUAACCACUACCUACAUUCCACAAAAUUGUGCAUUGAAUUCAAGGGAUAUGGACUUCAUGACAACGUUGCCCAACUCUCAGUUUUUGAGGUACUCCUUUGAUCUGCGCGAAGAGAGUGAGAAAGAGGACGAAAGGGAUAUGCUGAUCCUUUUGUUUCUUUUCUCUGUGUAAGUCGAGACCGAUCGAGAGAGCGUGCUGAACUUCGUAGACUCCAAGUGGAAAUUGUUUGGUGAUAGAGGUCUUCUGCGAGAGACAUGCACAGAAAGAAGAAGAGGGAAAUUCACAUCACGAGACUGAUCGGAGAGAGAAGGAGAAGCAUAUUUUUGAUUGAUAGUACAAAUAUAAGAGAAGAAGAAGAAGAGGGAGACGGGAAGGAAAUUAAGCAGAGGCAGAGUAGAGAAAGGAAAACAUGAAUGAAAAUAAUGAAGAGGAAGAGCCUUUGGGAUUUCGAUCCACUCUAAUCAAAAUUCCAAGUUGUGCGACAGAGGUCAGCUCCGGAGUUUCCAAGAGAAAGGUAUACCCAACAACAACUUGAUGAGGUGCGCAUUGAAGUAGCCGACUACUUCUUGAUUUUGAGUUAGGCUAGCUUUUGAUUAACAUUUUUGUAGCAAUUAUGAACAAAAAUGAAUACUAAUUGCUAGGCUAGCCUUGUAGUAGGUGAAUUGGGGUUUUAUUCUGCCCAUUUUGUAGACUGUUAAGGAUGAUGAUUUCAGAUAAAAUUACCCCAAUAUUCAAAUCA